CCACAUGAAACCAGCCUGUUGGAUAAUACUCCACCAAAACCAAAUCACUGAAGUGUCCGUAUGGGUCUCAAUGCAGAAGAGAUAUAUUUUCAAUUUGAUUUUUCUCUCCCUUUUUUUCUUUUUUUCAUAAUGUAUCAUUAUUUGAGUCAUUGGCAUUAUCACUAUCGGUGCUUUUCCUGGGCUUUGAAUAAUGACCUCCUUUAUAAGCACCUGCCCAGUAUUGUAAUGAGUGAAUCGAUCCAGUGAUGCACACCCCCAAUAUAACAGAGAAGGAUCUAAAUAGCACUGAAUGAAACUUCGCCGUUAUUUAUUUCCUGCCGCACCUGCUGCAGACUGUGGUGAAGUUGGAAGGGAAAGAGGUGGGACCACACAACUCUCCGUCUUUCCGUGUCCAGCCCUGGUGAAGCGUGUGUCUUUGAUGACGCCGCACACGGGUCCGUCUGCCGUGAACACAGCCUUCGCCCAGCGGAGAAGCAGGUGCUGGAAUCAUGCAGCAGCAGCCCUGGGUUCCGGGCGACCUGCCUUGUGAUUUGGAAACGCAAACACAGCAUCCUAAACGUCUGGUAGCUCCCGCAGACCCACAGGAAUGCGUCCGCAAGGCUCAGUUGGAAAAGCGCUGCUCCAGAAAGCAGAGAGACAAAGAAGAGAUCUUCCAUCCGCUGGUUCACUCCUCCAGUGCUCACAACAGCCAGGGCUGACCCAGAUCAAGGCCAAGAGCCUGGAGCCCCAUCCAGGCUUCCUGCACGGGUGGCAGGGACUCAAGUACUUGAGCCAUCGCCGGUGCACAUCAGCAAGAAGCUGGGUCAGAAGCAGAGGAGCCGGGACUUGACCCAGCAAACUUUAACUUCUGUCGACUUCAGAGUUCUCACAGUAAAAUGGGAGUGACGCCCCAGCCCAGCCCUCCACCUGGGACUGACACAGCGGGACGCUGCUGUAAAGCCAACGCCUUGGACACGCACACUGCUGUGUGUAUCCGUGCAGCAGCCCUCCUAAGAAUGUCCUGGAUGGGAACAGUCUAGCAGAAACUCCUGAAUCUGAGCAGAUCAACUAUGGUGCAGACACAUCUUGUACGAAUAUCCCAUCCCUGGCCGACAGCUCACCUUGACUGGAGAAGUCAGUCAGCUCCCUGUGUCCACGGCUUCCACGUCUUGGAUCAACAAACCUCUGAUGAGAAGUGUCUGGAGAAAGGGGCAGGUGAUUGGCAGUGCACUAAGGACACCCCUGGGACCCCCACGCUCCAUACUGCAGUGCCCGUUUUGGGGUCUCUGCUUCUGGCUCCAGCUUCCCAGUGAUGUGCACCCCAACCGCAGCAGGUGAGGGCUCAAGGAAUUGGGUUCCUGUCACCCACCUGGGAGACCUGCAUUGAGCUCCCAGCUCCCAGCUUUGCUGACCCAGUCCCACCCAGAUAUUGCAGGCAUUUGGAGAAGGAACUUGCGGAAGUAUUCGAUAAAUUUCAAAUCAAGGCCAAGUGCAUGAUUAAAUGAAGACAUCAUGAGUGAUUCAGCGACUGCGGGAUGCACAGUUCAAAAGACAGGGGAGAGCGCACGGAGCGUUGUGCAGGCAGAGAGACAGAGAGAUGGAGUCAGAUCUUCCAUCUGCUGGGUCACUCCCCAGUGCCCACAACAACCAGGGCUACAACAGCUGAAGCCAGGAGACGGAACUCAGUCGAGGUCCCUACAUGGGUGGCAGGAACCCACGUACUCCAGCUCUCACCAGUUGCUUCUCAGGUGUGCAUGAGCAGGAGGCUGGCUUGGAAGCAGAGCUGGGACCCAGUGCCACACACUUCAGUGUGGGCGUGGCCACCCCAAGUGGCAGCUUAGCCGCUGUGCCGACUGCCCCUCCGUAACUCGUGACACAUAUACUGAAGUGGGAAUAUGCAGAGAUCAACAUGGCCUCUGUGUGAGUAUGACACACGAGGGGUCAUCACCACGUUCAAGGACUCUGUCUAUUCCGAGAAGCCUCUGCAUGGGUUUCAAGACUUUUCUGCACCACAACACAUCUUUUCACUAGGUUCUUUCCACGAACGGCUUUGAAGUCCUCUUGUAUUUUUCCAGUUCACCGCUGGAAACGAAUCACAGGCAUCCGGAAAAAGAGGAAACUAGAAAACAUUUGCUGGCGUGCUGGGUGAUGGCUGCUGGUCCUGCUCAGAUUCGUGCCUCGAGACCCAGCAGGCUCCCAGUGCAAAGCCUCCGGGUGCCGGUAGGAAGGCAGCUCUCUCGACUCACGGCGCCUAAGGGACACAGGACACAGCCUAGAACUCCGAGGGCUGCGUGACACAGGCCAUGGUAAAACAGGGAUCCACCUAGGCAAUAACCACCUGUUGCCCUGGAGAGUGAAGUCCAGGGCCCUCAGCAGGGUAGACUGGCCCCUGAGUGGCGGCCCCGGCCCUCUGGGCAUCUCCAGAUACUAUCCUGCCAGCUCCUCCCCACCCCGUCAUUGCUACCUCCUCCCCACACCCUCAACCUCUGGCCCAGAGUCCCUGCGCCAUGAGUUGCCACUCACUUGGGAGAUAAGUGAGAAGACCCUGGACUUUCUCCCUGGGAGAAGCACCCAGUUUCGAGAGAUCCGUGUGCCCAGCAUCCUCUUCUCUCUGCAGCCUGACCUGACGCCCGCAAGCUGUUGCCACCACCCUACCCCACACCUGCUCCUCUCUCUGGGUUUUAGCACUGAUCCCUUUCUGGUUACCUUCUGGGCUUAUCGCACUGGAGAGGGAACUUCUCAUGAGAAGUGCCAAUCACCGUGUCACAAAUUCAUGGACAGCCAAGGGGUGUCCCAAUGCCCAAGUUCUAAUCCUGAGAUCAGGGCACAGCUCCAGCCACACCCAGCUGUCUAAGCACAAGGGUGUGUCACGGCGGGUGACGGUGACAUGACCCAAGAGAAGCCUGCCACCCUUAGAAGACAGGGAGCAGAGACUGCGGGGCCAGUGUGCUCCCUUCAGUGGCAGGGCGCCCGCGUUAAGGGCGCAGGGAAGUGCCCAGGGCAAACGAGGAGGAGCACCGGGAAGAACCUGGACUUCAGGCUCCAGCUCGGUCACUCAGGGCUUGUGACUGUGAGCAAGUCACUGUGUCCCUCUGAGCCUCAUGUUCUCAUCUGUCAAGAUCUACUUCCCAGAGCCACUGUCGAGCUGAAAAGAGGUGUCUGUUUAAACUGCCUGAUUCACAGGCGAUGGGCCAAUGAAAGUGUGUCUCUUUUUCUUGUAUUUCUGUAUGUUGCUGGUCACAUGCGAAAGAUUCCAACUCCUUUGAACUAAACAAAACAAGGAAUUUAUUGCAAGAAUGACAGAGGCUGAUAACUAUCCCCAAAUUUCUGUUAUCCCUUUCUUACCUGGCAAAAUACUUGUUGGCUGUGUACACAGUUGUUCAGUAAAAUAGCACCUUGCUCCCUGCCUCCCAGAGAGUCACAUGGUCUGGUGACCAAGUUCAAGACAGUGGGAUCAGCAGAAGCGAUCUAUUUCACUUCUAGGUCAUGUGAUCAAAGAGGAGGAACAUACUCACCCUUUUAAUUUCUAAUUUAAUUUUUGAGAGGCAGUGGGACAGGCAGAGAGACAGACAGGCAGAAAUAGAGAGCUCCAAACUGCUGGCUCACUCCCCAAACGCCCGCUAUAGCCAAGGCUGGGCCCGAGUUGGAGCCAGAAGCUGGGAGCUCAAUCCAGGUCUCCCACGUGGGGAACAGGAACCCAACUGCUUGAGCGUCGUCACUGCCUCCCGGGCUCUGUGUCAGCAGGAAGCUGGAUCUGGAGCUGCAGCCAGGGAUCGAACCCAGGUUCUCCAACGUGGGCGUCUCGGGCAGGAGGCCAAAAGCUGCCCCUCUUUCCGUCUUUUUCCCUGUCCUUUUGGUAGAAACAGGGGCAUCUGGCAGGAAGCAGGGCAGCGAUGCUGACCCCGAGGCAAGGCGAGUUUUGGGGAUGCAGAGGGAGGGACGGGGCCUGGGCCUCUGACGACUCAGCCCAGACUCCAAGUGCGGAGAAAGACAGACAAGGCCCUUGGUUUCACCUUUGUCGAUCUUUGACAGCAAAACCUACCCUCUGGGUAGCAGUCAGCCAUUGGGGAGUUCAUGGCACCCAAGGCAGAGCCAAACGGUCCGACGUCUGGAGCAGCAGGCGUCAUGAGCUCCCGGCCAGCGCUCAGCUGACCGUGGGGAGUUCCCUCAGUUGGUUCCCAUGUUGCUUUGACAUAAAAAACCACCAGUGUGGUCUUUGCGCUUCCUCUCACUUGGAUCAACUUGUGGUUUCCCUGCUCUGGCCUUGGCAUCAGCUAUUUCGGCACAGUUUUAGUUGUUUUCUUUUUAGUGGAGGGGGGUGAUUGGAAACCGAGAUCUGGGUGCUGGGCCUGUGAAUUGUCAUGGGCUGUCCCUGCUUGUGGGCCUCCCUCAGCCUGAGCUAGGACAUGUGCACGUGUGGGGUGUGUGUGUGUGUGUGUGUGCACUUACACAGGUCUACAUCAGCUUCCAUGUCUACCUCUGUGUUCUGAAAGUCCAUGAGUUCACCCCAACAUGGCCGAUUUAGUGCAAGACCACUGGUUACUCCAUCUUUGCCCUGUUUUCCGUAGGAAGUCGUAUCCUCUUCUCCAACAGUGAGAAGCUGGUGUGGCCCUCAGCACCUGCCUCGUGCAGUGUGUCUCCAUCAACCUUGUACAAAUCAAUGCACACAGGGCACCUCGUCCAGCUUGGUCCUCCCACGUGCACCAGCCAAGCCCUCAGCCCCGACCCAGGGAAGGGAGAAGAGCCCAGAGUCAACCCCUUGAAAAUAACACCCGAGAUGGACGUUCGGCCUGGUGGUUAUGGUGCCCAUGCCCCUGGGUUUAGGUUGCACUCUGGCUUCAGAGUCUAACUUCCUGCUAACGCAGACCCUGGGAGCAGAGGUGGCUCCCGUGACUGGAUUCCUUCCAGCCACACAGGAGACCCGGAUUGAGGUCUCCCUGCUGUGGCCUGAGCCCAGCCCCAGCUGUGGCGGGCAUCUGGGGGAUGAACCGGCAGGGAGAUAGGUGCACGCUCUCUCUCUCUCAUCAUCUGUUUCUCUGCUUUUCAAAACAAGUAAAACAAACCAAUUACAUGACAGCCCCUCUGCUGUGCCGCUGCUCAUCAGAUGGCCCCAUCGUGGGGCUCUGGCUUCCUGCUUCUUGCCUGUGAGGCUGGAGGGAACUGGCCUCCUGGAGGAACCAUUGCUAGCUCCUGGGCGGCUGCAACCGGCACCCUCUGCUUGACGAAAUAAGGUGCCCACCAAGGAGCUGAGCUGCGGGACAGCAACCUGAAAACUGCCGGAGCAGAGCCCCCGGGGCUGCCCCACCUCCCAGGGCACCUGACACUCAGGUAGCUGCCCGUCAAGUGCAUCCAACUGACCCCUUUCUGCCGAGGCCGACUCGGAGAACUGCAACAGCCAAAGCAACACCCUGACCCCAGGUUAGCGCCGGGCCUCCCGCUGGGGGCUCUGCGUCCUCAGCUGUCCCUGUUCUCCAGCGAUGGGCUCCGGGACCUCACGCGGAUACCAAGAUCUGCAGAAGCUCAGGCCCCUAGAGGUAGCGGUGUGGGGUCUGCAGUCUGCUCGCAUCUCCCCAUAUACUGGCGAUCGCGUCUAAAUCACUUAGGUUAUCAGGCACAGUAGAAACGCCAUGGAAGUAACUGUUGCACUGUGUCUUGCCUUUGUAUUAUUGUAUUGUUGUGCUUUUUAAUUAAUUAGUUAAUUAUAUUGAUUUAGAAGGCAGAGACAAAUUAGGAGACAGAGAAACAGAGACGUGAGGUGGGGAGGGGCCGGCCUUGCGGCGUAGUGGGUAAAGCCAGUGCCUCAACGCGGGCAUCCCAUCUGGGCACCAGUUCAUGCCCCAGCUGCUCCGCUGCUGAUCCAGCUCCCUGCUCAUGGGAAGAGCAACGGAAUCUGGCUCCAGCGAGUGGAUCGCUGCCACCCACAUGGGAGAUUUGGAUGAAGCGCUCGCUCCUGGCUUCAGCCUGGUCCAGCCCUAGCCACUGGCCAUCUGGAGAUGGAAGACCUCUCUCUCUGUCUCUCUCCUCUCUCUGUAACUCUGCCUUUCAAAUAAAUAAAUCAAUCUAAAAAAUAAAAGAGAGAGAGACAUGGAGACAGAUCUCCCAGCCACUAGUUUGCUUGUCAAAUGCCUACAAUAACCAAGGCUGUGCCAGGCUGAAGCCAGGAUCCAGAAACUCAAUCUGGGUCUCCCAUGUAGGUGACAGCGGCCCAAGGACUUGAACCAUAAUCUAGGGUGCCCGUUAGUGGGGUCCUGGAGUGCAGAGAAGGGCUGGAACUCAGACCCAGGCAUUCUCCUCUGGAAGGUGGGCAUCCCAAGUGACAGCUCUUCUUUUUUUUAAAGAAUUCAUUUAUUUUCUUGCAAGGUAGAAUUACUGACAGUGAGAGGGAAAGACAGGGGCUGGCACUGUGGUGCAGUGGGUUAAUGCCCUGGCCUGAAAUGCCAGCAUCCCAUAUGGGCGCUGGUUCCCUGCUGUGGCCUGGGAAAGCAGUAGAAGGUGGCCCAAGUCCCUGGGCCCCUCCCACCCACAUGGGAGACCCAGAAGCAGCUCCUGGCUCCUGGCUUCAGUCUGGCCCAGCCCUGGCCGUUGUGGUCAUUUGGGGGAGUGAACCAGUGGAUGAAAGAUCUCUUUGUCUGUUUGUCUCUCUGCCUUUCAAAUAAAAUGAAAAUAAAGAAUGCAAAUGUUUAGAAAUGGUUUUAAAAAGCCAACCUAACUACAUACUUCAGAAAGAAAGAAAAAGGGGCCGUGUUGUGGUGCAGCGGGUCAAGCUGAUGCCUGGGAGACUGACAUCCCACCUCGGAGUGCCGGCUUUCUCUGCUUCUGACCCAGCUCCCUGCUAGGUGCCGGGAAGCAGCAGCAGA